GAGUUUGAUCUUGGCUUAGGAUGAACGCUGGCGGCGUGCCUAACACAUGCAAGUCGAACGGAGUUUAUGAGGAAGAAGCUUCGGCGGAAUUCUUAUAAACUUAGUGGCGGACGGGUGAGUAACACGUGGAGAACCUGCCUCUUACCGGGGGGACAGCAGUUGGAAACGACUGAUAAUACCGCAUAAGCGCACGAGACCGCAUGGUCCUGUGUGAAAAGAUUUAUCGGUAAGAGAUGGCUCCGCGUCUGAUUAGCCAGUUGGCGGGGUAACGGCCCACCAAAGCGACGAUCAGUAGCCGGCCUGAGAGGGUGAACGGCCACAUUGGGACUGAGACACGGCCCAGACUCCUACGGGAGGCAGCAGUGGGGGAUAUUGCACAAAUGGAGGAAACUCUGAUGCAGCGACGCCGCGUGAGUGAAGAAGUAUUUCGGUAUGUAAAGCUCUAUCAGCAGGGAAGAAAGACCUCGAAAGAGGGGAUGACGGUACCUGAGUAAGAAGCCCCGGCUAACUACGUGCCAGCCGCCGACCG
rnacentral:rRNA from 1 species